rnacentral:rRNA from 1 species
UACGUAGGGUGCAAGCGUUAAUCGGAAUUACUGGGCGUAAAGCGUGCGCAGGCGGCUUUGUAAGUCUGUUGUGAAAUCCCCGGGCUUAACCUGGGAAUGGCAAUGGAGACUGCAAGGCUAGAGUUUGGCAGAGGGGGGUAGAAUUCCACGUGUAGCAGUGAAAUGCGUAGAGAUGUGGAGGAACACCGAUGGCGAAGGCAGCCCCCUGGGUCAAAACUGACGCUCAUGCACGAAAGCGUGGGGAGCAAACAGG